AUGGAGCUCGGGCAGGUGCUGGGCUACACGCCACCGGCGACCAAGGACGCGAGAUCCGGCGGCGGCUUCACCCAGGCUGCCGCUUGCCCCUACCCCUACCCCUCCCCCUUCCUCGACGAGCAGAAGAUGCUCAGCUUCUCCAAGGCCGCCGCCGCUCACCAGCCGCCCUCAGGUAUGGAUUUUGGGAGGUCCAAUGAGCAGAGGCUGUUGCUGGCCAGGAGCAAGAUGCCCUUCACCCCUUCACAGUGGAUGGAGCUGGAGCACCAGGCCCUCAUUUACAAGUAUCUCAAUGCAAAGGCCCCCAUACCUUCCGGCCUGCUCAUCUCCAUCAGCAAGAGCUUCAGACCCUCCUCCGAUAGAAUGCCCUGGAGGCCUGUCUAUCAAGGGUUCACCAAUGCAGAUUCUGACCCGGAACCUGGAAGAUGCCGUCGAACAGACGGCAAGAAAUGGCGGUGCUCAAAGGAGGCGAUGGCCGAGCACAAGUACUGUGAGCGGCACAUCAAUAGGAACCGCCAUCGUUCAAGAAAGCCUGUGGAAAACCAAACAAGGAAGAACGCCAAAGAGACACCUGCUGCUGGCUCGAUAUCGGCCGCUGUCUCACAGGGUGGCUGUAAGAAAGCAAAAGCUGGUGAUGAACUGAAGCCAGGGAGCGUCAGUUAUUGGACAGAUAAUUUAAACAGGGCAAUGGUGAGCAAAGCCAGGGGAAACAACCCUGAAGAAGGCAACAGUGCUCCACUCCUGAAUUCUACUAAUCAACAACACACAUUGUCCUUGUUCUCUCAACUGAAGCAACAGAGCAAACCAGAUAAGUUCAGCCCGGCAGUCGAUAGUGAAUCGAUCUCCUCAAAUACUGUAUUGAAGCCUUGGGAAAGAAGCAACCAGCAGAGCAGUAAGGACGUUUCUUCCACGACGCUCCAUGAUCGCGGGUGCCUUCAAUCAGUCCUUCAAGAUUUCAGCAUGCAUAAGAAUGACAAGAUCGAGUCUCAGAAAAACAAUGCUUCAGUGCCAUCUACUUUCUAUUCAUCUACAGAAGGUCGACACAUCAGCUGCCUUGCAUCUAACAUGAUGCAAGUGCAGGAGGAUUGCAUCUCAAGCUCUUGGGAGAUACCUCAAGGUGGGCCUUUAGGUGAAAUCCUAACAAACUCCAAGAAUACUGAUGACUUGACCAAUAAGUGUGAAUCAAGAUCAUAUGGUUGGUUACUGAGUCUUGAUGAACAUGAAAUGUGA
rnacentral:rRNA from 1 species